UUCCGAUGCAUCCACUACAACUAGAACC
rnacentral:piRNA from 1 species